rnacentral:rRNA from 1 species
UACAGAGGGGGCAAGCGUUGUUCGGAAUUACUGGGCGUAAAGGGCGCGUAGGCGGCCUUCUAAGUCGAACGUGAAAUCCCUGGGCUCAACCCAGGAACUGCGUCCGAUACUGGAAGGCUUGAAUCCGGGAGAGGGAUGCGGAAUUCCAGGUGUAGCGGUGAAAUGCGUAGAUAUCUGGAGGAAUACCGGUGGCGAAGGCGGCAUCCUGGACCGACAUUGACGCUGAGGCGCGAAAGCUAGGGGAGCAAACGGG